rnacentral:rRNA from 1 species
AAAGGUAAGCUACUAAGAGCGAAUGGUGGAUGCCUUGACUGGUAAAGGCGAUGAAGGACGUACUAGACUGCGAUAAGCUACGGGGAGCUGUCAAGAAGCUUUGAUCCGUAGAUUUCCGAAUGGGGCAACCCAAUGUAUAGAGAUAUACAUUACCUAUAUAGGAGCGAACGAGGGGAAUUGAAACAUCUUAGUACCCUCAGGAAAAGAAAUCAAUAGAGAUUGCGUCAGUAGCGGCGAGCGAAAGCGCAAGAGGGCAAACCCAGUGCUUGCACUGGGGGUUGUAGGACUGCAAUGUGCAAGAGGUGAGUUUAGCAGAACAUUCUGGAAAGUAUAGCCAUAGAGGGUGAUAGUCCCGUAUGCGAAAAACAAACCUUAGCUAGCAGUAUCCUGAGUAGGGCGGGACACGAGAAAUCCUGUCUGAAGCUGGGUCGACCACGAUCCAACCCUAAAUACUAAUACCAGAUCGAUAGUGCACAAGUACCGUGAGGGAAAGGUGAAAAGAACUGAGGUGAUCAGAGUGAAAUAGAACCUGAAACCAUUUGCUUACAAUCAUUCAGAGCCCUAUGUAGCAAUACAGGGUGAUGGACUGCCUUUUGCAUAAUGAGCCUGCGAGUUGUGGUGUCUGGCAAGGUUAAGCAAACGCGAAGCCGUAGCGAAAGCGAGUCUGAAUAGGGCGCUUAGUCAGAUGCUGCAGACCCGAAACGAAGUGAUCUAUCCAUGAGCAAGUUGAAGCUAGUGUAAGAACUAGUGGAGGACUGAACCCAUAGGCGUUGAAAAGCCCCGGGAUGACUUGUGGAUAGGGGUGAAAGGCCAAUCAAACUUCGUGAUAGCUGGUUCUCUCCGAAAUAUAUUUAGGUAUAGCGUUGUGUCGUAAUAUAAGGGGGUAGAGC